GCACAAUGCCACAGAAAUGAGGGCAUAAGAAAAACAUCAGAUUUAUUAUUCAUAGCAACAGCUCCAAGUCCAGACAGCUCCAAAGUAAAUCUGAGCAAGGACUUGCUGUGACUUUGUGACCAAAUACUUAAUGUUCUCAUAUCAUUAGUGCGCUCUGGCACUUUAUCAAAUCUGUAAUAUUGACUAACUACCAGUAAUUGCUGAUUUAUGGGCAAAGUUUUCUCAGUCUUGUUUUCUUCAGGACUCUAACAGACCUUCAUCUUCUGAAAACACGUUGAAUCAACACCAUACCAGAAACCUGGGAGCCAUCAUAAAUUCUUCUCCAUGUAUCCAACUCAUCACCAAGUCUUGACAGUGUCCCACUAUGUUGCCCAGGCUGGUCUCAAAUUCCUGGGCUCAAGCGAUCCUCCCAUCUGGGCCUCCCGAAGUGCUGGAAUUACAGGAAAAGAGGCUUUUGGGACCAUGGAGGAGUGGCUCCCUAAACCCAUAUGGAAAGUAGAUCUGUGUGACACAAAGGGUGAAUGAAGUGGCCAUGAAAACACACCAGUCAGAUCUCCUGUUGUGGGAGUCAUAACUGACAAUGGCCCCAGCUGCUGCACCUCCAGAUCUACCAUUGUGUUCACACAGAGGCCACACGUCCUGUGAGCCAGUGACUGCACACGGUGGGUUACUAAAGCAGGCCAGUUCCAGAAAAAUGCAAGAAUUCUUCAGUGGGCAACUUUGACUUAAAAACUCCCCAUCAGCCUGGCCAAAACUUUCUUGGAACACUGCUGAAUUCUGAAACUAUGUCAAUCCUCCUCUCUCCUUCCCUGAGAAUCAGACCUGCACUGUGACUUGAAUCUUCUUUCUACCUUCUCCUGCUGCUCUCUCCACCCUCCUGUAAAGGUGUUUUUCCCCGAAAACCUCCUGCAUGUCUAUUACUGUCUUGGUGUCAGAUUCUAGGAGGAUCUGAACUAACACACCUAUCGAGUUAUUCACUUUUUUCAUUUUUUAGUUGUCAGCAUGAUUUUUAAAAAAUAUAUUUCCAUUCUCUUGUGAAAUUCUUCAUCUGUUCUUUCUUGAACAUAUUAAUUAUAGCUAUUUUAAGUUUCUGAUUAUUUUAAUAUCUGGAUCACUGAUAGGUCUCUAUGUUUUUUUCUGUUUUUGGACAUUUGGUCUAGUUUCUUGGCACGCCUAGAACUUUUUGUUGAAUCCUGGACAAUAUGUGUUUAAAGCCAAGAGGUUCUAGAUAGUGUCUUUUUUCAUAAAGGACUUAAUUUUUUCCUGAGAGGUAAAUAGAGUAUGGACAGACCACCUCGAUCCAGUCUAAGUGGAGUUUCAAGCCUUGUUAGAGCUGUAUUUCUGGUUUAGUCUUGCUUUUAGGGUGUAUUUACUCUUGGGGUCUAGCCCUGAUUGCAGUCUCAACUGAGAGCCUGGAUUGUUUACCAGUCUCCCUCAAUCUGGUGGGUUCUGAACCCUAAGAUUUGUUUCCCUAGACCCAGGAGAUUACCCACAUCUCUGCUCAGCUCUUUAGCUUCCCAGAUGCUGCUUUUUGACUAGGUCUCGGAAUCUCUCCUUACAUCUUCAUAACGUAGAAUUCAGCAAAUACCUCAAGGAGAAAAACGCAUGAGGAAUUUCCAGAUCAUUUCUCUGUGGUUGCCUCUUCUCUGGCUUCUCAAAUCUUAGCUACCUUGGCAACUGUAAACCACAACUUUGAUGUUUUAAGCCCAGUGAAACUGCAGAAAGCUUCGGGGUCACCACAUUCUGUAUAGCCUCUUUUCUCCAUUUCUUGGACCAGCAAAUGCUUAAAGGUAAAAAGUGGAUGCAAGACUGAGGCUCAUUGAGUAUGCCUUCCUUCUCUCUUGGAUCUUGAUCCUGCAAAUCCUGGCUUCCUUGGUGGCUCUCUGAAGCAUUCAAUACUCUGCAUUUUUUUUCUUUUUCUAUCCAGUUGUUCAGGCCUCAGAUGUAUUACAUUUCCUUCCAGCCUCAAGCCUUUGCACAUGCCCUUCUCUCCUUUCACAACAUAUUCCCACCUUGCACCCCUACUCAGUAACCACUCUUCUUUCAGAUUACCUCAACCAUCAUUUCUACAGAGAAGCCAUUUCUUACAUCCCUGGAUAGAUUAAAAUCCUGUCUUACAGAUUUUUCAGGGCACCACUCUUACCUCUACUUUAUAGCCCUUAUCAGUACAAUUUUAUAUUUACUAGUGUAAUUAUUGAAUUAAACUCUCUCUCUCUGAUUACCCUAUAAGCAUAGCAUGGACAUUUAUCAUAUCUGAUCAACAUUAUACUUCCAGUGACUAACAAGUGCCUAAUACCUAAGGAGUGCUCAAUAAAUAUCUACUGAAUGAAUAUGAGGCAAUCAUCACCUUUUGAAGUAGCUCAUCCACUGUAUUGAAAUCUGAAUAUAUGAAUUUAGACUCUGUCAAUCAGUAAAUGAAGCUAAUAGACAACAGCUGAAUAGUGUCCUUCUCACUAAUAAUUACACUAUAUGUGUCUGUGUAUAUAUGAAUGUACAGCCAUGUGUAAUUGGAAUUGAGUUCUUAUAUAAGACAAAAAUGUAAACUAGUCAGCAGUGGGAAAGAGACUUCUUGGACAAGUACUUGAAUAUUCAUUGAAACCAGAAAACUACAAAGAUCUCUAGGGAUAUAAUUUCAAACUCUGAUAAGAGCAGUUACGCAGUAAUUCAUUGAGCAACUCUAUCAAAAUGAGAUGCUGACAAAAAGAAGAAAGAUCAAAGAACGCUUUCAAGGACAGAGCAGGAAUUGGGCAUUGCAAAAGGGAGGUGUGAUGUGUUUGGCAGAAAGGUUUAGGGGAAGAGAGAAAGAGCAAAAGGAAUGAACGGCCAGAGAGAGCAGAAAGUUCAAAGUGUCAUGUUACCUGUCUUCCACAUAGAUCAAAAAAUACUCCAACCUUCCUGACUUUUUAAAACGUAAUAGAUGUGAAAUGUUAGAAGUUAUUUCCAAAUAGCCUAAUCAUUCUGUUGAAAUAUCCCAGGAGGCUCAGAGGAUACCGGG
rnacentral:lncRNA from 1 species